GACGAACGCUGGCGGCGUGCUUAACCCAUGCAAGUCGAACGGAAAGGCCCUGCUUUUGUGGGGUGCUCGAGUGGCGAACGGGUGAGUAACACGUGAGUAACCUACCCUUGACUUUGGGAUAACUUCAGGAAACUGGGGCUAAUACCGGAUAGGAGCUCCUGCUGCAUGGUGGGGGGUGGAUAGUUUCGGCGGAUGGGGAUGGACUCGCGGCUUAUCAGCUUGUUGGUGGGGUAGUGGCUUACCAAGGCUUUGACGGGUAGCCGGCCUGAGAAGGUGACCGGCCACAUUGGGACUGGGCUGCGGCCCAGACUCCUACGGGAGGCAGCAGUGGUGAAUAUUGCACAAUGGGCUGAAGCCUAAUGCAGCCACGCCGCGUGCGGGAUGACGGCCUUCGGGUUGUAGACCGCUUUCGCCUGUGACGAAGCGUGAGUGACGGUAAUGGGUAAAGAAGCACCGGCUAACUACGUG
rnacentral:rRNA from 1 species